rnacentral:lncRNA from 1 species
GGUCACAAAUCGAAUAGAUUGAAGAAUGUUCCUCCAAGUACUCCUAGUCGGAUCUAGUAAUGGGGGCAUGCAACCUAGAUCGAAAGAGAAAACAAGCUUCAACAAACUUGCACAAAAUCUUCUUGGUAAGAGAUUUUCCAGCCCUCACCUUCCACUUCAUUUUCUUUUCGUUUAGAAAAAUUACAGACCUAUGAGCAUUAAAAACAAAGGGCUGAGGU